CCUACGGGCGGCAGCAGUGGGGAAUAUUGGACAAUGGGGGCAACCCUGAUCCAGCAAUGCCGCGUGUGCGAUGAAGGCCUGCGGGUUGUAAAGCACUUUCGGUUGGGAAGAAAUACUCAAAGCUAAUAUCUUUGAGGGUUGACGUUACUAACAGAAGAAGCACCGGCUAACUCUGUGCCAGCAGCCGCGGUAAUACAGAGGGUACAAGCGUUAAUCGGAGUUACUGGGCGUAAAGUUCGCGUAGGGAUGUGAAAUCCCUGGGCUUAACCUAGGAACGGCAUUCGAUACUGGAAGUCUAGAGUAUGGUAGAGGAAAGUGGAAUUCCCGGUGUAGUGGUAAAAUACGUAGAUAUCGGGAGGAACACCAGUGGCGAAGGCGGCUUUCUGGACCAAUACUGACGCUGAGGCGCGAAAGCGUGGGGAUCAAACAGGAUUAGAUACCCGGGUAGUC
rnacentral:rRNA from 1 species